rnacentral:rRNA from 1 species
GAUGAACGCUAGCGGCAGGCCUAAUACAUGCAAGUCGAACGAGAUUAACAGGCUUGCUUCUUAUGAAAGUGGCGCCCGGGUGCGUAACGCGUAUGCAACCUACCUUAAUCAGGGGGAUAGCUCGAAGAAAUUCGGAUUAAGACCGCAUCAAAACACAGGAUAGCAUUAUUCAAUGUUCAAAUAUUUAUCGGAUUAAGAUGGGCAUGCGUGUCAUUAGCUAGUUGGCGGGGGAACUACCAACCAAGGCGAGGACGACGAGGGGAUCUGAAAGGAUGAUCGCCCGCACGGGAACAGAGACACGGACCAGAGGACUAAGAGAGGCAGCAGUAAGGAAUAGGAGGCAAUGGAGGGAACUCUGAACCAGCGAGGCCGAGUGCAGGAAAGCAGCGCUCUGGGUCGGAAACAGCUUUUAUGGGGGAAUAGACCUUUUUACGGGGAGGAAGCUGAAAGUACCGAAGGAAUAAGGAUCGGCUAACUCCGUG